UCCUUCAAAACCUGAAAUACAUUUGCCACUGAAAGUAAAUGACUUCACAAGUGCAAAACGAAAUACACGAUCAGCAACACUGGCGCCAAAAACCGGUACUCAUGAAAGGGAUUUCAUUGAAGGCGACAAUAUAACAUUUAUGUGUAAAGGAGAUGUUGGGAGGCCCGAGGGAAUAUUUUUGUGGCAGAAAAUUUUCUCCGGUGAUGAAACAUUUAGUUACUCAAACAUAUCAACUGACACAAUACCCGAGUCUUGUUCCUAUGACGGAAAUAGCACCUUAACGAUUCAGGUGACUAGUGAUGACAAUCAGGCAAGAAUAAGAUGUAUUGUCAAAUCUGAGUUACCAAAUGGGACCAGGCAUGUAGAUUCAGAACCACUUCUGAUUCACUUUAAAGUGAGGAGGCCAUUUAUAACAUUGCUUCCAAACAAAACUGUCUUUCAGGAGGGGGAUUCAGUUCAACUAAAUUGCAAAGCCCACGGAAACCCAAAUCCUUCGUAUUCAUGGACUUCAGGCAAUAGCAGCGGAGACAUAUUCGUUGACAAUGACACCCUAGUAAUCAUUAAAGCAAACAUUUCUGAUAGCGGUUUAUAUACAUGUGACACCAGAAAUUCCGUCUUUGGCACCGAUUACUCAGAAUCUAUAUCAACUUACAUAAACAUAGCUACCAAAUCAACAACUCCUUCUCGUACUACAAGCAGGCCUUCAGGAUCAGACAACAGAAAAGUCGCCAUUGUGGUUGGUACAGUAUGUGGAUCAAUAAUAUUGACUCUUUGUGUAAUAAUAUUAUCUGUUAUACAGAACAAGUAUAAAAAUAGCAAUGACAGAUCAGCAGAUUAUGUCAACACGACACAGCAACAACAACUCCCGUUGUAUGAAGGAGUCGGUCAUACUUUAGAUGUACACAACUAUGAACAAAUCGCUAGGACGGAACAUUUGUACCAUAAUACCAAUUUAAGUAAUAAUUAAACAAAAGGCACUUUGACAGUCGUUUGGUAUAAUUUUUCAAAUAAUAAUGAGUAAUUGCUCUGGAGGAAUAAAUGAUACGUAUCAUCUGGCGCAUGACUGAAUAUUGAAAAGUUCAUAUGUGUGUUAUAUGAGUGUUAACAUUUUCUUGUGGCUCUUGCAUGUGUGUGUUUGAGUUCCAAGGUGUUUUGAAUUCUUCAUUAAUUAUUUGUUUUAAUUUUCGUGUAUAAUGUUUUUAUAAUAAAAUUGAGCAAAAAAUCGACCAACUGUUAUCUUUGAUAUAUAACAUAGAACUGAGAUGCUUGAGAUGUUGAAAAAUGUCUGUUAGUGGUAAUGAAGAGUUCGGUAAAGACUUGUAUCUCAUAAAUUCGUAAGAUGUGGCGUAAGGACGUUUGGCAAAACCUAUACUAUUCAAAGCACAGUUUUCAUUAAGAAAUAGAAAUUAAAAUGUAUAAACAACAACAACAAAACAACAGAUAAUAAUGUACUACCUAUACACCUGUCAUCAUUGUAUAAUUUUAUUUUAUAUAAAGUAUCACUUUUUGUCAAUAUAUUCAAUG